AUUGAACGCUGGCGGCAGGCCUAACACAUGCAAGUCGAGCGGAUGAAGGGAGCUUGCUCCUGGAUUCAGCGGCGGACGGGUGAGUAAUGCCUAGGAAUCUGCCUGGUAGUGGGGGAUAACGUCCGGAAACGGGCGCUAAUACCGCAUACGUCCUGAGGGAGAAAGUGGGGGAUCUUCGUACCUCACGCUAUCAGAUGAGCCUAGGUCGGAUUAGCUAGUUGGUGGGGUAAAGGCCUACCAAGGCGACGAUCCGUAACUGGUCUGAGAGGAUGAUCAGUCACACUAGAACUGAGACACGGUCCAGGCUCCUACGGGAGGCAGCAGUGGGGAAUAUUGGACAAUGGGCGAAAGCAUGGUCCAGCCAUGCCGCGUGUGUGAAGAAGGUAUUCGGAUUUUAAAGCACUUUAAGUUGGGAGGAAGGGCAGUAAGUUAAUACCUUGCUGUUUUGACGUUACCAACAGAAUAAGCACCGGCUAACUUCGUG
rnacentral:rRNA from 1 species